UCGUGUCAGCAUAUCUGAGAGUUGGCCGAUAUUUAUCUGAUUUUCACUUUGCCGAAGCUCAAAGAGGUCAAUCGAUUCUUCAGUUUCACAGAAAAUCUUUUCUUCCGAUGGAUCCGCAACACCACCAGCAAUCGGAACCGGAGCUCCAGGUUUCGUCCUUGGAUCCGCUCCGUAUCCAACCCACUUCUCCUCGUGUCCCUUUGACCACCCCAGUCUCCGGUUCCCAGCGCCGCGUCGCCAUCGCCGUCGACUUAAGCGACGAGAGUGCUUACGCCGUUCGAUGGGCCGUUCAGAACUACCUUCAUCCGGGAGACUCGGUCGUUCUCCUCCACGUCCGUCCGACAUCCGUCCUUUACGGUGCCGACUGGGGCUCCAUCAAACUCCAAAUCAACCCUAACUCCACGAAGAAUCACGAAAGCGCCACGGCCUUCAGGGGCGAGCAACCCGAAGCGGAGUCGCAGCAGAAGCUCGAGAACGAUUUCGACGUCUUCACGACGACGAAGGCGAACACGCUGGCGCAGCCGUUAGUGGAUGCUCAGGUUCCGUUUAAAAUCCACAUAGUGAAAGACCAUGACAUGAAAGAGAGGUUGUGUUUGGAAGUUGAGAGGUUAGGUUUGAGUGCGGUGAUCAUGGGGAGCAGAGGAUUCGGAGCCACCAGGAGACCCAACAAAGGAAGGCUAGGAAGCGUUAGCGACUAUUGCGUCCAACACUGCAUUUGUCCGGUGGUGGUGGUCCGGUACCCAGAGGAGGAAGAGAACGGGGUAGCGAAGAAGAGCAUUGUUGAAGAAGAUGUAGAGCUGCAGCCUGUGCCUGAAGAGGAACCAGAGUACCAUGAUGCAGAAGAAGAGCAUACUGGGUUUUCAAAUUGGUGAUUGAUUUUGAUUUUGUUAAAUGAUGCUUAAUAUGACUCAGAGCAACGACGAAUGCCCUCUUAUUCAGCACCAAAGGAUGAAAACCAAUCCGAAAUUUGAGGACUAUGGUGGCAAAAGAAGUGUGAAAAUGUUGUGCAGUGAUGAUCUUUAUGCUUUGUAUAGAUGGAUAGUAAUAGGGCUCUUGGUUUUCGGUGUACUUCCUGUUAGUUGCUUUGUUUCGACACUUAACUGUUCAAUGCCUAUGUAUAUGGUUUGCUGCA